rnacentral:rRNA from 1 species
GACGAACGCUGGCGGCGGGCUUAACACAUGCAAGUCGAACGGAAAGGCCCUGCUUUUGUGGGGUUCUCGAGUGGCGAACGGGUGAGUAACACGUGAGUAACCUGCCCUUGACUUUGGGAUAACUUCAGGAAACUGGGGCUAAUACCGGAUAGGAGCUCCUGUUGCAUGGUAGGGGUUGGAACGUUUCGGCGGUCGGGGAUGGACUCGCGGCUUAUCAGCUUGUUGGUGGGGUAGUGGCUUACCAAGGCUUUGACGGGUAGCCGGCCUGAGAGGGUGACCGGCCACAUUGGGACUGAGAUACGGCCCAGACUCCUACGGGAGGCAGCAGUGGGGAAUAUUGCACAAUGGGCGGAAGCCUGAUGAAGAAACGCCGCGUGCGGGAUGACGGCCUUCGGGUUGUAAACAGCUUUAGCCUGUGACGAAGCGUGAGUGACGGUAAUGGGUAAAGAAGCACCGGCUAACUACGUG